GACGAACGCUGGCGGCGUGCUUAACACAUGCAAGUCGAACGAUGAACUACCAGCUUGCUGGUGGGGAUUAGUGGCGAACGGGUGAGUAACACGUGAGUAACCUGCCCUGGACUCUGGGAUAACCCCGAGAAAUCGGAGCUAAUACCAGAUAGGACCUUUCCUCGCAUGAGGUUUGGUGGAAAGUUUUUCGGUUUGGGAUGGACUCGCGGCCUAUCAGCUUGUUGGUGAGGUAAUGGCUCACCAAGGCGUCGACGGGUAGCCGGCCUGAGAGGGUGACCGGCCACACUGGGACUGAGACACGGCCCAGACUCCUACGGGAGGCAGCAGUGGGGAAUAUUGCACAAUGGGCGCAAGCCUGAUGCAGCAACGCCGCGUGCGGGAUGACGGCCUUCGGGUUGUAAACCGCUUUUAGUAGGGAAGAAGGGCUUCGGCUUGACGGUACCUGCAGAAAAAGGACCGGCUAACUACGUGCCAGCCGCCGCGGUAAUAC
rnacentral:rRNA from 1 species